rnacentral:rRNA from 1 species
UAGUGGCGGACGGGUGAGUAACGCGUGGGAAUCUGCCCUCAGGAGGGGGAUAACGGUUGGAAACGACCGCUAAUACCCCAUAUGCCGAGAGGUGAAACGAAAUUCGCCUGAGGAUGAGCCCGCGUCUGAUUAGCUAGUUGGUGGGGUAAAGGCCUACCAAGGCAUCGAUCAGUAGCUGGUCUGAGAGGAUGAUCAGCCACACUGGGACUGAGACACGGCCCAGACUCCUACGGGAGGCAGCAGUGGGGAAUUUUCCGCAAUGGGCGCAAGCCUGACGGAGCAACGCCGCGUGAGGGAUGAAGGCCUCUGGGCUGUAAACCUCUUUUCUCAAGGAAGAAGAACUGACGGUACUUGAGGAGUAAGCCACGGCUAA